rnacentral:rRNA from 1 species
AGCAGCCGCGGUAAUUCCAGCUCCAAUAGCGUAUAUUAAAGUUGUUGCAGUUAAAAAGCUCGUAGUUGAAUUUCGGGAUAAAAUUGUCGGUCGUGCCUCGGUACGUACUGGUAUUAUUGGUUCCUCCCUUCUGAAGAACCGCGAUGUCAUUAAUUUGGUGUCGUGGGAAAUCAGGACUGUUACUUUGAAAAAAUUAGAGUGUUUAAAGCAGGCUCGCGCUUGAAUACAUUAGCAUGGAAUAAUGAAAUAGGACGUUUGAUUCUAUUUUGUUGGUUUCUAGGAUCGACGUAAUGAUUAAUAGGGAUAGUUGGGGGCAUUAGUAUUCAAUUGUCAGAGGUGAAAUUCUUGGAUUUAUUGAAGACUAACUACUGCGAAAGCAUUUGCCAAGGAUGUCUUCAUUAAUCAAGAACGAAAGUUAGGGGAUCGAAGACGAUCAGAUACCGUCGUAGUCUUAACCAUAAACUAUGCCGACUAGGGAUCGGAUGAUGUUAAUUUUUAAUGACUCAUUCGGCGCCUUACG